UACGUAGGGUCCGAGCGUUGUCCGGAAUUACUGGGCGUAAAGAGCUCGUAGGUGGUUUGUCGCGUUGUUCGUGAAAACUCACAGCUUAACUGUGGGCGUGCGGGCGAUACGGGCAGACUAGAGUGCGGUAGGGGAGACUGGAAUUCCUGGUGUAGCGGUGAAAUGCGCAGAUAUCAGGAGGAACACCGGUGGCGAAGGCGGGUCUCUGGGCCGUAACUGACGCUGAGGAGCGAAAGCGUGGGGAGCGAACAGG
rnacentral:rRNA from 1 species